rnacentral:rRNA from 1 species
GAUGAACGCUAGCUACAGGCUUAACACAUGCAAGUCGAGGGGAAACGAUAGAGAAAGCUUGCUUUUUCUAGGCGUCGACCGGCGCACGGGUGAGUAACGCGUAUCCAACCUGCCCAUCACUUGGGGAUAACCUUGCGAAAGUAAGACUAAUACCCAAUGACGUCUCUAGAAGACAUCUGAAGGAGAUUAAAGAUUUAUCGGUGAUGGAUGGGGAUGCGUCUGAUUAGCUUGUUGGCGGGGUAACGGCCCACCAAGGCGACGAUCAGUAGGGGUUCUGAGAGGAAGGUCCCCCACAUUGGAACUGAGACACGGUCCAAACUCCUACGGGGAGGCAGCAGUGAGGAAUAUUGGUCAAUGGGCGCGAGCCUGAACCAGCCAAGUAGCGUGGAGGACGAC